rnacentral:misc_RNA from 1 species
AAUUUUCAACUCAAUCUUAUCAUCCUAGGUUUUAAGAGGUGAAGUCUCAAUAACCAAACCUUAUGAUUCUUCAAACUGCACUUCUUGCUUUUCAUAAUAAAAUUUUUUGCAUUUUAUCCUUACGGGUUCUAAUUACAUCUUCAAAAACUCUUGAUAUUGCUUCCAGUCUAUCCUAAGUUUUUGGUGACCAAUGCCCUUCCGGUGAUGGGCAAGCAUUUGGGUCAAUGGUAUGUAGGGCUGUAAACUGCUAGCGAGCUAUUCAAGGCUUGGCUUAGUUUGUUUUCUAAAUGAGGCGAGCUCGAGCCUAAUUUUUAGACUCAUUUAAUAAACAAGUCAAGUUUGAGCUUAUUGAUAUUUGGCUUGUUGAGGCUAGCGAUUGGCUUGUUUAACUAAAAUUAUUUAGUUUUAAAUUUAUUAUCUUAAACCAAAUAAAAAUUAUAUAGUUUUGAACUUCAUAAUCAUAAACCUAAAAUUCACUAGAGUUGUAAAUGAGUUAAGCUGCCUGUGAGUUGUUUGAGGCUUGACUCGAUAAAAACUCAACUUAGUUCGGCUCGUUUUCUAAAUGAGCUAAGCUUGAGCAUGAAAAAUUUUGUCUAGCCAAGCUUGAGCUCUUCAAAGU